UACAGAGGGUGCGAGCGUUAUUCGGAAUUACUGGGCGUAAAGCGCUCGUAGGCGGCUUUGCAAGUCGGGUGUGAAAUCCCCAGGCUUAACCUGGGAACUGCAUUCGAGACUGCAUUGCUAGAGUAUGGGAGAGGGAAGUGGAAUUUCCGGUGUAGCGGUGAAAUGCGUAGAUAUCGGAAGGAACAUCAGUGGCGAAAGCGACUUCCUGGACCAAUACUGACGCUCAUGUGCGAAAGCGUGGGGAGCAAACAGG
rnacentral:rRNA from 1 species